rnacentral:lncRNA from 1 species
GCUUUCAAUUUUUGGACCACUCUAUUGUAUUGAAGUUGAAAUAUAUUUCUCCCAUGAAUCCUUACUAUGCCCUCUAUAAAUUAACAGAAUAAUCUCCAUCUUCCACGCGACAGCCCUCCCAACACUUUUUAAACUGUUAGCACGGGUGCCCACAGACCCUUGUUCCAGGUGUCUGCCUGAUUAAAAUCUUUUACACCUGUGCUGGUUUAUCUAUUGCCACUAUCAGGACAUUAAUUUAGGACCACCAUCAUUUCUCACCUGGGUUACUGCAAAAAAAGCCUCCNNNNNNNNNNNNNAAAUCUACACUUUCUCCUGCAAUGAAGUCAAAUGAACUCAUACUACACCUCUGUUCUAAACGCUUCACUUCUACAGAGCCCUUAGAUAAGAUACAGGACCCGUCAGGGUCCACCCUCUGCUCAGCUCUGUAGCUGUGUAUCUCUGCACUCCCUGGGGCACUGUGCUCCAAUCACCCUAGAUGGCCUGAGGCCCCCAAAUUUGCCCUCUCUGACCUCUCAUACAAGUGCACCCAAUGCCAGCCUACUUCUCACUCACUAAAAUCUGUUUACCCAGGACACCGUUCAUUUCCUGGGCUAGCUAGGAUGGCUCUUCCAUCUAUUCCCAUAGCAUCUUUUUUUUUUUUUCCCCUCCUACAGAAGUAAGAAUGUUAACAUCAAAAUACUGCUCAAGCUCCCCUUAAUGUGAUUUUUCAGGCCUGUUAUAUUGUCUGUGAGAAAUGUAUAUAGAUUUGAUUAAAUCAUUUUGGAUGUUUUCCCUUGACCAUUUUUUGCCAAUGUUUCCUUUAAAACGUGUUAGUCAGAUCUUAGCCCAAUCCCACCAUGUGGUAAGACUUCUGCAGGGUACAGUGAGGAAACUACAUCACUUGCUUCAAUUGCUUGCAAGUUGGUUUUAGCUUUAAUUUUUAAAUUUGUACAGUAGGAACAGUAUCACCUUCCUUUAAAGCUUUGAGGACUGAGGACUAAAUAAGGCAAUGAAUGCAGCAAUCGGCUCAAUCCUGGCAAACAGGAGGUGCUCAAAGAAUAACAACUAUUAUUUUAAUGGAGUACAGCAUUACCACAGUCUACCUGUCUUGGAAUCCUAUAAAAAGUAGUCUUCUUAUGCAUAAGAAAGAAAGGGAAAGGAUCGCAGAGUUCUGUUUUGGUGAAAUGAAAAUGCAGGGGCAGUUGACACCUCAGCUUCCUCUCUGUGUCCUGAAGGAUCAGAAACAGAAGGGGUUGGAAAAGUCAGUCACAGUGGCGGCGAGGGUCGUGGAAUUCCACAUGCCAGAGCAACACGGUACAUCUGGAGGACUGCUAGACACCGCAGCUCGUGAGCCACCGCUGUAUUUACAUAAAACAUCUACUUCAGCGGAACCCUGCAGCUCACGGAAUGCAAUCAAAAUAACAUCUGUUUACAUUUCCAGCAACUACUGUAUUUUGUCCUCUACUUCAAUAGCCUUCAGCAGAUGGGAGACUCCUUCAGAAAGGGCCCACUCUUGUUUUUGUAUCAUCCCAGACGGCUGCAAUCAAAUAUCCAUGGAUAAGGCAAUUAAGCAGAAGGCACCAUUAAUACAAAAUUUCAGGGUGUCCCAAAGAAAAUGUGUAAGUAGCACUGGCCCUACUUCCAAGUGUUCAGACAAAAAUUUCCAUGCUUCACACCCAGAAUCUCCAGCUCAUCCUUCUGAGACUCAGUCCAGACCUCGUGAGUCUCAGCAUUUCCAGUGGGAUAUUCUGACCAGAAAGCCUUCUGAAGCAGGGCUCAUUGCAGAGAGGGAAGCCACAGAUAGGAACCACUGGUGCAAAACCCUUCUGUUUAAGUCAGAAAUCCUCUUGUAGGGAAGGGAAGCUCUAAGUGCAAUGAAGUCGGACAUGGCCGUCAAGGAAACUCUGCGCCCACAGACCACACAGAAAGCUUUGCUCUUCAUCCAUGCCUCCUUCAUCUCUUGUCUGGACCACUGCAAGAGCCAUGGACCCUGACAUUCUGAUAGAAAGAGUGAUUUUCUUUUAAUCAACUGAAUUAGGUAACUUNNNNNNNNNNNNNNNNNNNNNNNNNNNNNNNNNNNNNNNNNNNNNNNNNNNNNNNNNNNNNNNNNNNNNNNNNNNNNNNNNNNNNNNNNNNNNNNNNNNAGAGUGAUUUUCUUUUAAUCAACUGAAUUAGGUAACUUCUUUAAAAUAUUCCAAUGACUCUACACUCCAAACUUGGCACACAAGACCCUGAAGUUCUGAUACUGCCCCAGCACCAUCCCAACCUCACACGUAUCCCCAGUUCUACCAUAAGCUUCAGCCUGCAGGCCUUUCCCUUUGAACUGUCCAAGCUCCAUAUCUCUCUUCUUGUUCCCAACAUUUUUCUCUUCAGGACCCUCAGGCAUGCUGCUUCUCCCACUAGGAACACUGUUAGGUUCCUGCUUUACUCCAAGCACAACACACACACACUCAGCUCAGUUCAGUUCAAUCACUCAGUCGUGUCCGACUCUUUGCAACCCCAUG